UAUUACGCUCCCAAAAUCCCAUCUCUCAAGUCUCAAGCCCAACACGAGUCGCUACCACACAUCUCAAUAUUUCAGUAUUUACAAAUUUACAAUAUAAUGUUCACCAUGAUCACAAUAUUAUUAUAAAUUAUAAAAUACUAUAUUGUUAUUUUGUUCACUUUGCGCUAUUUUUACUUAACUUUUGAAGUACCGCACUCAGUACUUGGCUGUUGUAAAAUGGUACAUAAUAUAAAUGUAACUUCAUCAUAACAUAGUGUUGAAAGGUUUUAUAUAAUAUUUGUAUUAUUAAUAAUGAUCUUUAAAUAUAUUUUUCUGUGACGAAAUUUGUUUCAAAUGUCUUCAAUGUUUGAAAUAACUGAUUUACAAAAAAUCGGAGUCGGCCUGGCUGGUUUUGGAAUAUCGUUUCUAUUCCUGGGCAUGUUGUUGCUGUUUGACAAAGGACUUUUAGCCAUUGGCAAUAUAUUGUUCAUAGUGGGUCUUAGUUGUGUCAUUGGUGUACAACGAACUUUAAAGUUCUUUUUCCAAAGGCAAAAAAUCAAAGCAUCUUUGUCAUUUUUUGGCGGAAUAUCAGUUGUUCUUUUUGGAUGGCCAAUUGUAGGAAUGCUAUUGGAAAUUUAUGGAUUUAUACUUCUGUUCAGUGGUUUCUUUCCAGUAGCAAUAAAUUUCAUGCGCCGAGUACCAUUAUUGGGAACUUUACUCAAUUUGCCUGGCAUAACUGGAUUGUUAGAUCGAGUGGCAGGUGAUACGAGACGAACGAUGGUAUGAAUAACCAUUACAAAUAUUACAAACAAAUAAAUUACUUCAUAAAAAUUUUAUGUGACUUCAAUUGAUGUUAUACUUAAGUUAUUACGACAUAAUUCCUACUAACUGGACAUUCCUGGGCUACUUGCUUCCAGUUACCUAUUUUUUAUGACUUAUAUACAUAAUUCAGUAUAUUAUAACAUUACCAAUAAAUUUAAUUUCAUUGAUAAUAUAAUUUGUUUUAUAAAUUCUCUGUAUUACAAAUUUAUUUUCAUUAUAUACAAGUAAUUUUUAAGUUACCACAUUAAUUAACCAGCUAAUGGCACAACGAUUGAUUUGAUACAAAUAUAUAUUAUACAUUGUAAUUGUUAUUUUAUAAGCCAAUUGUAUUAUAUAUUUAUAAGUAUAAUAAUAUGAUGAAUGUGUAACUAAAUCAUUAAGCACAAAAACCCUCUUAGUGUCGUUAGUGAUAUCGAUACACUGUUUGUUUUCUCUCUGGCCCAUGCGCAACACAGACAAGACGUUUCUCACAAAAUCAUUUUUUUUUUAUGUUUAGACAAUUACACAAUGUUACAAAAAACAUUUUAUCUGUGUGUGCAUAGGAUCUGAGAGAAUUCUUACAAACAUAAUAUUCAGUCAAAGUUUAAAUAAAGAAAAUUGGUCAAUUUA